GAGUUUGAUUAUGGCUCAGGAUGAACGCUGGCGGCGUGCUUAACACAUGCAAGUCGAACGAACGAAUUUUAACGGAGCUCUUCGGAGUAAAGAUAGAAUAAGUGAGUGGCGGACGGGUGCGUAACGUGUGGGUAAUCUGCCUUUGUCAUGGGAAUAACUGCUUGAAAGAGCAGCUAAUACCGAAUAACAUAUGCAAUAGGCAUCUAUUGGAUAUCAAAGAGAAAUCGGACAAAGAUGAGCCCGCAUCUGAUUAGCUAGUUGGUAGGGUAACAGCCUACCAAGGCAACGAUCAGUAGCCGACCUGAGAGGGUGAACGGCCACAUUGGAACUGAGACACGGUCCAAACUCCUACGGGAGGCAGCAGUGGGGAAUAUUGCACAAUGGGGGGAACCCUGAUGCAGCAACGCCGCGUGAGUGAAGAAGGCUUUCGAGUCGUAAAACUCUGUUGUAAGGGAAGAUAAUGACAGUACCUAAAAGAAG
rnacentral:rRNA from 1 species